rnacentral:rRNA from 1 species
UACCUACGGGAGGCAGCAGUGGGGAAUAUUGCACAAUGGGGGAAACCCUGAUGCAGCGACGCCGCGUGAGUGAGGAAGUAUUUCGGUAUGUAAAGCCCUAUCAGCAGGGAAGAAAAUGACGGUACCUGACUAAGAAGCUCCGGCUAACUACGUGCCAGCAGCCGCGGAAAUACGUAGGGAGCAAGCGUUAUCCGGAUUUAUUGGGUGUAAAGGGUGCGAAGACGGGAAAUUAAGUUAGUUGUGAAAUCCCUCGGCUCAACUGAGGAACUGCAACUAAAACUGGUUUUCUUGAGUGUUGGAGAGGA